ACACUCAGCUGACAAAGGUGGCUUCCCCAGGGCGAGGCUCACCCAUUGCACCCGGGUAUGCUGAGCCCUGCAGUUCCUCCGAAUGUGGAGAUGCUGACUGUCUACUCUGCAGUAGUGUUCCUGCUCUCCCCGGGAGGAACCCUACUU
rnacentral:snRNA from 1 species